GCAAACAGAGAAACUGAGGCAGGGAGUCUGACCUGCCCAGGGUUUUCUAGCUUCUCAGCUCCUCUCUCCAUAUUCCUCAGCUCAAAAGUCUAAGGCUCAGUGGUUGCCGAGUGGGUGGGCACUAUGAAGAGCUGUUUAGGGAGGUGCUGGAUGGCUGUGCCCCUGGCUGGAAAACAAGCCACACCAAUGGAUGCCUGGGUCAAGUUUAGGUCCCACACAACCGCUCCCCUUCUCAGACCUUUCGCAAGCACCCUCCAUUUCAGGCAGGACACCAAGGAAUGAAUGGCAGGGCCAGCAUUCCUGGACCUGUGCACUGAGGGUAUUUUUAGCCUUUGCCCUGCCUGGGCAUUUGCACUGUGUCUAAUGUUCUCAGGAAACCACCCAAAUGCACACCCAGGAGCCUGGCGGGCUCUUAGAGUCUCUGGGAACUGCACCCUGCCCUGAUCCUGCGGCUCAGGAUCCAGAUCCCCCUUCCAAGAUAGAAUCAGCUCCUAUUAGUGAAGAAUGCAUCCCCACCCACAACACACACAAAGGCUUGUGGCUCAGAAACCAGGAGGUGUGAGGCAUAGAACCUGUGACCUUGGGGAAUCACGGUCUGGACCUGGAAAGUCAGGGGAAGACCUCAGCUGUGCCAGGGGGACCAUCAGGCCAGACGGUUGCUGAGGGGCAAGAUGCCGCAUCUUGGAGAUCUCUCUUACUGGGGCUGGGCUAACUCUGGCUGUGCUGUCCCUGUUCUCCUCACCAGCGCGGUUUUCCAGGAGCCAAGAAGCAAUUCUGGAAUGUACAGGUAAAUCUUCACAGGUAAAGUAUAAAGGCUUUCCCAUCUUCUGCUUCUUCUUUGCUCCCUUUUCUCGAACUCAUUACUCUUCUCUUCCUGGAUGUUGCGGGGUGCUGGUGGGACCAGGGGGUUUCACAAAGGGCAGGAGCCUGCCACGUGCCUGGGGGGCACUGUCCUGUGCUGGGUCUCAGUUUCCUCCUUUGUGAGGCUGGGAGUCGCGACGCCUAUCUUGCAUGGCAGGUAAGUUGCUCUCCGCAGGGACUGUCACUUUUUUGUCUGGCACUCACGGUCAGAAAUACAUUUUACAUAUUGACCAAGUGCCCGCGUAAAUAAAUACACACGUGAAAUAAAUGCUUCACAGAGCGACACUUACUCACUGCAUGGAAUGAUCUCUGGUAUUUCCUAUCUAAUUGUUUCACUUUCGUCAAGUGCUAGUCCCCACCACGUUUUUUUCAGGACGCGGUAUUGGUCCCUGAUCUGAUGUGCACGGUCAAGAGGGAGAGACAGAAAAAAAGCAAGCGCACAGGCGCACACAUGAUCACUACCGGAGCGAAGCGCGGCGCAGGGAAGAGCGGGGUCUGAGCCAAGGGGAGAGGGGCGGGCCCAUUUCUGCACUUCACAGCGAGGCCUCGGGCAAGGCGGCAGGCAGGCCAGGUCAGACCCGGCUUUGAGGCUCUGGUGGCGGGCUGGGAUUUAUUUUAAGGGACAUGGAACGCCACCGCAGGUUUGGGGGAGGGGCAGGAUUAAAGGAGAAGAUGCGCUCAGCACGUUAUAUUUAGUGGCUGACGCGCCGGAAGGGCUCGUUACCCGCAGCUACCACUGCGCCCCACGCCCGGAGCGCGGCCCCAGCUUCGCCCCCCGGGGCAGGGAUCCCCGGUCCCCGCCUUCACCACCUGGGGCAGGAACCCCAGUCCCCCUAUCCUGUCUUCACUCCUCGGGGCAGCGACCCCGGCCUCCGCCUUCGUCCCCCGGGGCAGGGACCCACGGUCCCCGCCUUCGCCCCGCGAGCAAGGAUCCCAACCCGCCAGUGCUGGAGACGAAGAGAGUGAGGGCGGAACCUGGCCCGGCGGCCUCCCAGCCAGGGUGGACAAAGCUGUCCCGGCACGCUUCGGCAGAGGGGAAACUGAGGCCAGGGGACUGAGUCCGCAGGCUCGCAGAGCGGGGGCCUGGGGCGGGGCCGGCACGCGCGGCGGGCGGGGCCUGGCCCCGCCCCUCCCGGCGCACGCGCCUC
rnacentral:lncRNA from 1 species